rnacentral:rRNA from 1 species
GGGUUGUGAGGUUAAGCGACUAAGCGUACACGGUGGAUGCCCUGGCAGUCAGAGGCGAUGAAGGACGUGCUAAUCUGCGAUAAGCGUCGGUAAGGUGAUAUGAACCGUUAUAACCGGCGAUUUCCGAAUGGGGAAACCCAGUGUGUUUCGACACACUAUCAUUAACUGAAUCCAUAGGUUAAUGAGGCGAACCGGGGGAACUGAAACAUCUAAGUACCCCGAGGAAAAGAAAUCAACCGAGAUUCCCCCAGUAGCGGCGAGCGAACGGGGAGCAGCCCAGAGCCUGAAUCAGUGUGUGUGUUAGUGGAAGCGUCUGGAAAGGCGCGCGAUACAGGGUGACAGCCCCGUACACAAAAAUGCACAUGCUGUGAGCUCGAUGAGUAGGGCGGGACACGUGGUAUCCUGUCUGAAUAUGGGGGGACCAUCCUCCAAGGCUAAAUACUCCUGACUGACCGAUAGUGAACCAGUACCGUGAGGGAAAGGCGAAAAGAACCCCGGCGAGGGGAGUGAAAAAGAACCUGAAACCGUGUACGUACAAGCAGUGGGAGCACGCUUAGGCGUGUGACUGCGUACCUUUUGUAUAAUGGGUCAGCGACUUAUAUUCUGUAGCAAGGUUAACCGAAUAGGGGAGCCGAAGGGAAACCGAGUCUUAACUGGGCGUUAAGUUGCAGGGUAUAGACCCGAAACCCGGUGAUCUAGCCAUGGGCAGGUUGAAGGUUGGGUAACACUAACUGGAGGACCGAACCGACUAAUGUUGAAAAAUUAGCGGAUGACUUGUGGCUGGGGGUGAAAGGCCAAUCAAACCGGGAGAUAGCUGGUUCUCCCCGAAAGCUAUUUAGGUAGCGCCUCGUGAAUUCAUCUCCGGGGGUAGAGCACUGUUUCGGCAAGGGGGUCAUCCCGACUUACCAACCCGAUGCAAACUGCGAAUACCGGAGAAUGUUAUCACGGGAGACACACGGCGGGUGCUAACGUCCGUCGUGAAGAGGGAAACAACCCAGACCGCCAGCUAAGGUCCCAAAGUCAUGGUUAAGUGGGAAACGAUGUGGGAAGGCCCAGACAGCCAGGAUGUUGGCUUAGAAGCAGCCAUCAUUUAAAGAAAGCGUAAUAGCUCACUGGUCGAGUCGGCCUGCGCGGAAGAUGUAACGGGGCUAAACCAUGCACCGAAGCUGCGGCAGCGACACUGUGUGUUGUUGGGUAGGGGAGCGUUCUGUAAGCCUGUGAAGGUGUACUGUGAGGUAUGCUGGAGGUAUCAGAAGUGCGAAUGCUGACAUAAGUAACGAUAAAGCGGGUGAAAAGCCCGCUCGCCGGAAGACCAAGGGUUCCUGUCCAACGUUAAUCGGGGCAGGGUGAGUCGACCCCUAAGGCGAGGCCGAAAGGCGUAGUCGAUGGGAAACAGGUUAAUAUUCCUGUACUUGGUGUUACUGCGAAGGGGGGACGGAGAAGGCUAUGUUGGCCGGGCGACGGUUGUCCCGGUUUAAGCGUGUAGGCUGGUUUUCCAGGCAAAUCCGGAAAAUCAAGGCUGAGGCGUGAUGACGAGGCACUACGGUGCUGAAGCAACAAAUGCCCUGCUUCCAGGAAAAGCCUCUAAGCAUCAGGUAACAUCAAAUCGUACCCCAAACCGACACAGGUGGUCAGGUAGAGAAUACCAAGGCGCUUGAGAGAACUCGGGUGAAGGAACUAGGCAAAAUGGUGCCGUAACUUCGGGAGAAGGCACGCUGAUAUGUAGGUGAAGUCCCUCGCGGAUGGAGCUGAAAUCAGUCGAAGAUACCAGCUGGCUGCAACUGUUUAUUAAAAACACAGCACUGUGCAAACACGAAAGUGGACGUAUACGGUGUGACGCCUGCCCGGUGCCGGAAGGUUAAUUGAUGGGGUUAGCGCAAGCGAAGCUCUUGAUCGAAGCCCCGGUAAACGGCGGCCGUAACUAUAACGGUCCUAAGGUAGCGAAAUUCCUUGUCGGGUAAGUUCCGACCUGCACGAAUGGCGUAAUGAUGGCCAGGCUGUCUCCACCCGAGACUCAGUGAAAUUGAACUCGCUGUGAAGAUGCAGUGUACCCGCGGCAAGACGGAAAGACCCCGUGAACCUUUACUAUAGCUUGACACUGAACAUUGAGCCUUGAUGUGUAGGAUAGGUGGGAGGCUUGGAAGUGUGGACGCCAGUCUGCAUGGAGCCGACCUUGAAAUACCACCCUUUAAUGUUUGAUGUUCUAACGUUGACCCGUAAUCCGGGUUGCGGACAGUGUCUGGUGGGUAGUUUGACUGGGGCGGUCUCCUCCUAAAGAGUAACGGAGGAGCACGAAGGUUGGCUAAUCCUGGUCGGACAUCAGGAGGUUAGUGCAAUGGCAUAAGCCAGCUUGACUGCGAGCGUGACGGCGCGAGCAGGUGCGAAAGCAGGUCAUAGUGAUCCGGUGGUUCUGAAUGGAAGGGCCAUCGCUCAACGGAUAAAAGGUACUCCGGGGAUAACAGGCUGAUACCGCCCAAGAGUUCAUAUCGACGGCGGUGUUUGGCACCUCGAUGUCGGCUCAUCACAUCCUGGGGCUGAAGUAGGUCCCAAGGGUAUGGCUGUUCGCCAUUUAAAGUGGUACGCGAGCUGGGUUUAGAACGUCGUGAGACAGUUCGGUCCCUAUCUGCCGUGGGCGCUGGAGAACUGAGGGGGGCUGCUCCUAGUACGAGAGGACCGGAGUGGACGCAUCACUGGUGUUCGGGUUGUCAUGCCAAUGGCACUGCCCGGUAGCUAAAUGCGGAAGAGAUAAGUGCUGAAAGCAUCUAAGCACGAAACUUGCCCCGAGAUGAGUUCUCCCUGACUCCUUGAGAGUCCUGAAGGAACGUUGAAGACGACGACGUUGAUAGGCCGGGUGUGUAAGCGCAGCGAUGCGUUGAGCUAACCGGUACUAAUGAACCGUGAGGCUUAACCUUACAACGCCGAAG